rnacentral:misc_RNA from 1 species
CAGUGUUCUUCUCAGUCGUCUUGUGCACCACUAAGACGCCACCGUUCCACGCGGGCGCCUGCAAGGAAUGCUAGGAGGUCUGCGUCCUCUCGCUGCAGCGACCAGGCGCACCGUUGGCGGCGCCGUGGUGUCUCCAGCAUUAAUCACGCCCUCUCGCGCUCUCAGUGUUCGCACAGAGGAUUUCUUCAGCAAGGAGGCUGUCAGUCACGCCCGCCGCGUCUCGUGGGCGCCGCACACGACGGAAAAGAAGGUCGGUGCGUUCGCCAAGCUGUCGCGCUCCAACUUCAACGAUCCGCUGCCCGUCAGCUUUCACAGCGAGCCGUACUUUGAGGAGGAGAUUGAGGCGUACCGUGCGCAUCAUCGGCCCGAUGUGUACGUGUACAAGUACAACGUCUCUCCCACCCAUCUGUCUCUUCGCGAGUAGCGUGGCAGGAAGGGAGGUGGAGGGGGGGGGAAGAGGGUUCGCACGUAUCCAGGGGGUGAGCACCCGGCCUCUCUUGCUCAACGCGCGUUGUGUCGGCAGCGCUCGAUUUUUCCUUUUUUCGUUGUUUCUCUUCGGUGUCGUUGCCGACUCCAGUGCUGUGCGGUGCAACACGGAAACACAGAGGCAGGAAGCGGCGCGAUGGCGAGGCGCCAUCCUCCACGGUCGGCGCUGGAUUUACAGUGUGCCAUGUGUGUGGGCUCGCUGACAUGAACGCUUUUUUUGUCGGUGUCGUUUUGGCAUCAGGAACGUUGGACCCUCGUGUGAGUGUGCGUUGUCUCAAAAUGUGCGAAGUGGUACUCUGUGCUCCGCUCUGCGUUGGAGGUGGUGGUUGGCAGUGCGUCUUCAGCGAUGGAGAAUCGCGCAGGGAGGCGAAAGGGGUGUAGCAGACGAAUUUCUGUCUCCUCCGCGCCUCCCCCGCUUCUGACGCGCUUCUACAGUGCUCAUUACUUGCCGUGUGCUCUGCUCAUUACCCCCUUUUUCGCCGCCGUUUCUCUGCACGCGCUUGUCUCGCAGUGGCGCAAGACAUACCUGUAUGCGUAGACAUCCGCUACAGAAGGGAGGUUGGCGACGUGUGGCGUCUACGAGCGCGUUUUUGGUUUGCUCUACAUCUCUCUCUUCCUCCCUCUUUCUCGUCGCGGCACCUCUCGCAAACUGUGCGCUCGACGGGCGGGCCGCGCGGCACACGCGCACAG